ensembl:lncRNA
GCAGUGUGUAAUCGGGUCUGCGUAGCGCGCACUACACUUUAGUUGAACUAUCCUCCGUGAAAAAAAGCUGUAGGAGCAACUGGAACCCGAACAACUGACCCAGAGAUAUGAGUGGAAUCUGCUGAGCAUGUGGGUAUUCGGUGUUCAAGCACUUCCAGCACACACACAGACACGCACACACACACACAGACACGCACACACACGCACACACACAGACACGCACACACACACAGCCUGAUCAUGGCGACAGCGGCCGACGGCUGUCCUCCGGACCGGCGGGGCUGGGUGGAGUUCGUGGAGAACGCCUCGGGACCCCGGACGGAGCCCCCAGCAGUGGCUCAUGGAUUCUUGGAGUCUAGCUCCGCCCCUGCUGAUCCUUCAUCAGCUGGCUUGGCUCCGCCGGCACCGCAGAACGCCUGGGUUCUGUUCGAUGAGAACCCCUGGGCCUCCCCUCCACCUCCACCUCAGGACAAUUUCAGGGUACAAAUCUCAGGAUAUGUUGCUGUCAGGAGAAUAUCAGGAGAUUAUCAGGAUUCACACGUUUGUCUGAAAGCAGCAUUUGUUUCGUGAUUUGAAAUGGGAUUCUGCAUCUGCCGUUUGCACUUGUUCCAUUGAUU